rnacentral:rRNA from 1 species
UACGAAGGGGGCUAGCGUUGUUCGGAAUUACUGGGCGUAAAGCGCACGUAGGCGGAUAUUUAAGUCAGGGGUGAAAUCCCAGAGCUCAACUCUGGAACUGCCUUUGAUACUGGGUAUCUCGAGUAUGGAAGAGGUGAGUGGAAUUCCGAGUGUAGAGGUGAAAUUCGUAGAUAUUCGGAGGAACACCAGUGGCGAAGGCGGCUCACUGGUCCAUUACUGACGCUGAGGUGCGAAAGCGUGGGUAGCAAACAGG